rnacentral:rRNA from 1 species
CAUGAAAGAAGUUUAAAAAGGACGGCGUAAGCUGUCGCUAAAGGAUGGACCUGCGAUGCAUUAGCUAGUUGGUAGGGUAACGGGCUUACCAAGGCGAUGAUGCAUAGCCGAGUUGAGAGACUGAUCGGCCACAUUGGGACUGAGACACGGCCCAAACUCCUACGGGAGGCAGCAGUAGGGAAUUUUCCACAAUGGACGCAAGUCUGAUGGAGCAACGCCGCGUGAGUGAAGAAGGUUUUCGGAUCGUAAAGCUCUGUUGUUGGUGAAGAAGGAUAGAGGUAGUAACUGGCCUUUAUUUGACGGUAAUCAACCAGAAAGUCACGGGCUAACUACGUGCCAGCAGCCGCGGUAAAU